UGGGGAAUUUUGGACAAUGGGGGAAACCCUGAUCCAGCCAUCCCGCGUGUGCGAUGAAGGCCUUCGGGUUGUAAAGCACUUUUGGCAGGAAAGAAACGUCGCGGGUUAAUACCCCGCGGAACUGACGGUACCUGCAGAAUAAGCACCGGCUAACUACGUGCCAGCAGCCGCGGUAAUACGUAGGGUGCAAGCGUUAAUCGGAAUUACUGGGCGUAAAGCGUGCGCAGGCGGUUCGGAAAGAAAGAUGUGAAAUCCCAGAGUUUAACUUUGGAACUGCAUUUUUUAACUACCGGGCUAGAGUGUGUCAGAGGGAGGUGGAAUUCCGCGCGUAGCAGUGAAAUGCGUAGAUAUGCGGAGGAACACCGAUGGCGAAGGCAGCCUCCUGGGAUAACACUGACGCUCAUGCACGAAAGCGUGGGGAGCAAACAGGAUUAGAUACCCUGGUAGUCCACGCCCUAAACGAUGUCAACUAGCUGUUGGGGUCUUCGGACCUUGGUAGCGCAGCUAACGCGUGAAGUUGACCGCCUGGGGAGUACGGUC
rnacentral:rRNA from 1 species